AGAGUUUGAUCCUGGCUCAGAACGAACGCUGGCGGCAUGCCUAACACAUGCAAGUCGAACGUGAUCCGGGGCUUGCUCCGGUGAAAGUGGCGGACGGGUGAGUAACGCGUGGGAACCUGCCCUUUGGUUGGGGAUAACUGCGGGAAACUGCGGCUAAUACCCGAUGCACCCGAGAGGGGAAAGAUUUAUCGCCGAAGGAUGGGCCCGCGUCGGAUUAGGUAGUUGGUGGGGUAACGGCCUACCAAGCCUUCGAUCCGUAGCUGGUCUGAGAGGAUGAUCAGCCACACUGGGACUGAGAUACGGCCCAGACUCCUACGGGAGGCAGCAGUGGGGAAUAUUGGACAAUGGGCGCAAGCCUGAUCCAGCAAUGCCGCGUGAGUGAAGAAGGCCUUAGGGUUGUAAAGCUCUUUCGGCGGGGACGAUGAUGACGGUACCCGCAGAAGAAGCCCCGGCUAACUCCGUGCCAGCAGCCGCGGUAAUACGGAGGGGGCUAGCGUUGUUCGGAAUUACUGGGCGUAAAGGGCGCGUAGGCGGUGCGAUCAGUCAGGCGUGAAAGGCCCGGGCUCAACCCGGGGACUGCGCUUGAUACUGUCGCGCUGUGAGUCCGGGAGAGGAUGGCGGAAUUCCCAGUGUAGAGGUGAAAUUCGUAGAUAUUGGGAAGAACACCGGUGGCGAAGGCGGCCAUCUGGACCGGCACUGACGCUGAGGCGCGAAAGCGUGGGGAGCAAACAGGAUUAGAUACCCUGGUAGUCCACGCCGUAAACGAUGCGUGCUAGACGUUGGGGGGCUUGCCCUUCGGUGUCGCCGCUAACGCAUGAAGCACGCCGCCUGGGGAGUACGGUCGCAAGAUUAAAACUCAAAGGAAUUGACGG
rnacentral:rRNA from 1 species